rnacentral:rRNA from 1 species
CCAGACUCCUACGGGAGGCAGCAGUGGGGAAUAUUGCACAAUGGGGGGAACCCUGAUGCAGCGACGCCGCGUGGGCGAGGAAGUAUUUCGGUAUGUAAAGCCCUAUCGGCAGGGAAGAAGAAAUGACGGUACCUGAAUAAGAAGCACCGGCUAAAUACGUGCCAGCAGCCGCGGUAAUACGUAUGGUGCAAGCGUUAUCCGGAUUUAUUGGGUUUAAAGGGUGCGUAGGCGGGAUGCCAAGUCAGCGGUAAAAAUGCGGUGCUCAACGCCGUCGAGCCGUUGAAACUGGCGUUCUUGAGUGGGCGAGAAGUAUGCGGAAUGCGUGGUGUAGCGGUGAAAUGCAUAGAUAUCACGCAGAACUCCGAUUGCGAAGGCAGCAUACCGGCGCCCUACUGACGCUGAGGCACGAAAGCGUGGGUAUCGAACAGGAUUAGAUACCCGUGUA